GGGCUUGUGGUUUAGUGGUAUAAUACUCCCUUAGCAUGAUAGCGACGAUCCACCUCACGAUGGUUGGUUGAAGUUGUCUGUCUAACUUGGGAGUGGUCCGGGGUUCGAUUCCCCGCGAGUCCA